GUGGGGAAUUUUGGACAAUGGGGGAAACCCUGAUCCAGCCAUGCCGCGUGAGUGAAGAAGGCCUUCGGGUUGUAAAACUCUUUCAGAUGUGAAGAUGAUGACGGUAACAUCAGAAGAAGCUCCGGCUAACUUCGUGCCAGCAGCCGCGGUAAUACGAAGGGAGCGAGCGUUGUUCGGAAUCACUGGGCGUAAAGAGUGCGUAGGCGGUUAUACAAGUCAGGAGUGAAAUCCCAGAGCUUAACUUUGGAAUUGCUUUUGAAACUGUAUAGCUAGAGUCCCGGAGGGGUUAAUGGAAUUCCGAGUGUAGAGGUGAAAUUCGCAGAUAUUCGGAGGAACACCAGUGGCGAAGGCGAUUAACUGGACGGGCACUGACGCUGAGGCACGAAAGCGUGGGGAUCAAACAGGAUUAGAUACCCUGGUAGUCC
rnacentral:rRNA from 1 species